rnacentral:rRNA from 1 species
GAUGAACGCUGGCGGCGUGCUUAACACAUGCAAGUCGAACGGAAAGGCCCUGCGUUUGUGCCGUGCUCGUGUGCGGCACGCGUGUGUAUCACGUGUGUAUCCCGUCCUUGUCUUUCGGGGAUCAUUUCGAAACUGCGGCUAUUAUCGGAUAUCAUCUCCUGCACCGCGGUGGGCGAUGGAAAAUGUCGGCUUUGGGGGCUGGACUCGCGGCUUAUGCGCUUGUUGGUGGGGUAGUGGCGGUCCAAGGCUUUGACGGGUAGCCGGCCUGGGCGGGUUACCGGCCACAAGGGGACUGAGGGACGGACCAGACUGCAACGGGAGGCAGCAGUGGAGAGUAUGGCACAGUGGGCGGAAGCCUGAUGCAGCAACGCCGCGUGCGGGAUGACGGCCUUCGGGUUGUAAACCGCUUUCGCCUGUGACGAAGCGUGAGUGACGGUAAUGGGUAAAGAAGCACCGGCUAACUACGUG